rnacentral:rRNA from 1 species
GACGAACGCUGGCGGCGCGCUUAACACAUGCAAGUCGAGCGAGAACCAGGACUUCGGUCCUGGGGACAGCGGCGAACGGGUGAGUAACACGUGGAUAACCUGCCCUCGGCACCGGGAUAGCCCGAGGAAACUCGGAUUAAUACCGGAUAGCCCUUCCGACUCUCGAGUCGGUCUGAAAAGGUAGCUUCGGCCUCUGGCCGAGGAUGGGUCCGCGGCGGAUUAGCUUGUUGGUGGGGUAACGGCCGUACCAAGGCUCCGAUCCGUAGCUGGUCUGAGAGGACGAUCAGCCACACUGGGACUGAGACACGGCCCAGACUCCUACGGGAGGCGAGCAGUGGGGAAGUCUUGCGCAAUGGGCGAAAGCCUGACGCAGCGACGCCGCGUGAGGGAAGAAGGCCUCGGUUGUAA